GUCAGUGUGGUGUAGUGGUUUAAGAAUAGGACUAGGACUCUGGAGAUCAGGGUUCAAAUCCCAGCUUGGCCA